rnacentral:rRNA from 1 species
CUUUACUGCAACUUGGCAGUGAGGUUCGGAACAAUCUGCGUAGGAUAGGUAGGAGGCUACGAAGUCGGGAUUCCGGUCUCGAUGGAGCCAACGUUGAAAUACUACCCUGGCUGUUCUGGACUUCUAACCCAGGCCCCUUUACGGGGUCGGGGACACUGCCUGGUGGGCAGUUUGACUGGGGCGGUCGCCUCCCAAAAAGUAACGGAGGCGUGCGAAGGUACCCUCAGGCUGAUUGGAAACCAGCCGUAGAGUGCAAUGGCACAAGGGUGCUUAACUGUGAGAGGGACACCUCGAACAGGUGCGAAAGCAGGCCAUAGUGAUCCGGUGGUCCCGCAUGGAAGGGCCAUCGCUCAUCGGACAAAAGGUA